rnacentral:lncRNA from 1 species
UGCUUUUGCGUUUAAAUGGGUGUGGCGCUAAGUAUAUCUUGUUUAUCUCUCUGGAAAAAGUUUUGGAAGUCUGGUUGAGGCUGUCACAUCACUGCAAUUUGUUGGUUGGCAUUACGGAAGUUGAGAGAAAAGGGUACACAAUUUUUUUUCCCCCGAGACAGGGUCUUGCU